rnacentral:SRP_RNA from 1 species
GCCAGGCGCAGUGGCACAUGCCUGUAGUCCCAGCUACAGGAGGCUGAGGCGGGAGGAUUGCUUGAGCCCAGGAGUUCUGGGCUGUAGUGAGCUAUGCUGAUCAGGUGUCCGCACUAAGUUCGGCAUCAAUAUGGUGACGUCCUGGGAGCUGGGGACGACUGGGUUGCCUAAGGAGGGGUGAACCAGCCCAUACUGGAAAUGGGGCAGGUCAAAACUCCUGUGCUGAUCAGUAGUGGGACUGUGCCUGUGAAUAGCCACUGUACUCCAGCCUGGGCGACAUAGCCAGACCCUGUCUCU